GGUCAUUUAGAGGAAGUAAAAGUCGUAACAAGGUCUCCGUAGGUGAACCUGCGGAGGGAUCAUUAACGAGUGAGGGUCGUCCAGGCCCGACCUCCCAACCCUUUGUUUACCGAACCUCUGUUGCUUCGGCGGACCCGCCUCACGGCCGCCGGAGGACCGUCGCAAGGCGUCCUCUGGCCCGCGUCCGCCGAUGGCCAACCUCUCAAACCCUGAACCAACCGUGUCGUGUGUCUCAGUUUAUGAUUAAAUUAAAAGCAAAACUUUCAACAACGGAUCUCUUGGUUCCGGCAUCGAUGAAGAACGCAGCGAAAUGCGAUAAGUAAUGCGAAUUGCAGAAUUCCAGUGAGUCAUCGAAUCUUUGAACGCACAUUGCGCCCUUUGGUAUUCCGAAGGGCAUGCCUGUUCGAGCGUCAUUAUCACCCCUCGGGCCCUGUGCUCGGUGUUGGACGGCCGGUUCGGGCGACCGAACCCCUCCUAAAGACAAUGACGGCGGCCUGUCGGUUCCCCCGGUACACUGAGCUUUUUACGAGGCACGUGCCGGACGAGGGCGCCCAGGACCCGGUCCUCUCCUCUCAGCAGGAAACUUCCCAAUGGUUGACCUCGGAUCAGGUAGGAAUACGCGCUGAACUUAAGCAUAUCAAUAAGCG
rnacentral:rRNA from 1 species